GACGAACCGUGCGAACGUUGUUCGGAAUCACUGGGCUUAAAGGGCGCGUAGGCGGGCUGCCGAGUCCUGGGUGAAAUCCUCCGGCUCAACCGGAGAACGGCCCCGGAUACUGGCGGCCUCGAGGGAGAUAGGGGCGUGCGGAACACUGGGUGGAGCGGUGAAAUGCGUUGAUAUCCAGUGGAACUCCGGUGGCGAAGGCGGCACGCUGGAUCUCUCCUGACGCUGAGGCGCGAAAGCCAGGGGAGCGAACGGG
rnacentral:rRNA from 1 species